AAAUGCGAUAAGUAAUGUGAAUUGCAGAAUUCAGUGAAUCAUCGAAUCUUUGAACGCACAUUGCGCCCGCCAGUAUUCUGGCGGGCAUGCCUGUUCGAGCGUCAUUACAACCCUCAGGCCCCCGGGCCUGGCGUUGGGGAUCGGCGGAAGCCCCCUGCGGGCACAACGCCGUCCCCCAAAUACAGUGGCGGUCCCGCCGCAGCUUCCAUUGCGUAGUAGCUAACACCUCGCAACUGGAGAGCGGCGCGGCCACGCCGUAAAACACCCAACUUCUGAAUGUUGACCUCGAAUCAGGUAGGAAUACCCGCUGAACUUAAGU
rnacentral:misc_RNA from 1 species